GACGAACGCUGGCGGCGCGCUUAACACAUGCAAGUCGAGCGAUGAAACUUUAACAGAACCCUUCGGGGCGAAGAUAAAGUGGAUUAGCGGCGGACGGGUGAGUAACACGUGAGUAACCUGCCUUAGACAUUGGGAUAGUCUCGGGAAACCGGGAUUAAUACCAAAUAAAAUCAUAAUGACACAUGUCAUAACGAUCAAAACUCCGGUGGUCUAAGAUGGACUCGCGUCCCAUUAGUUAGUUGGUAGAGUAAAAGCCUACCAAGGCGACGAUGGGUAGCCGGCCUGGGAGGGUGAACGGCCACAUUGGAACUGAGAAACGGUCCAAACUCCUACGGGAGGCAGCAGUGGGGAAUAUUGCACAAUGGAGGGAACUCUGAUGCAGCGACGCCGCGUGAACGAAGAAGGCUUUCGAGUCGUAAAGUUCUUUUAUAUGGGAAGAUAAUGACGGUACCAUAAGAAAAAGCCCCGGCUAACUACGUG
rnacentral:rRNA from 1 species